GUCCAGUGUGUCUCUGUCUUGCAAAUCUAUAGUUGUAUUGUCUGAAUGAUAAACCUACUGUUCAUCAGAAUUACCUCAAGUUACCUACAUUAUACCAUUUCCUUGUCAUGAAUAAUUUUGGAACAUUGUUCAUUUCCUUUCAUAUGAAAAUCUAUUUUUAAAAGAUAAUGUGAAGGUAGCCUAUCUGCCAUUUAACUAUUGAUAAGAUAAUUUGCAUUUUUAAAAAAUCCUAGCCUCUCAAGAGAAAAAUGGAGAAGCUGAAAGCCAUUCCCAUCUAAGAACUCAGAGGUGUCAGUUGUUUGCCUGCCGACGCUCUCAUGUGAACUAAGAGAAUGGAACCGGACAUUCGUGAAGUGCUCAGAGACCUAAGUUGCCUAGGCUCGUCUCAAACUCCUGGCCUCAAGUGAUCCUUCUAUCUCAGCCUCUCAAAAUUCUGGGAUUACAGACUUACCCUUUUACUGAAGUCAAUGCAGUUGGCAAAAUAGCAAUAGUCAUUAUUGUUAUAAACAGCAAACAGACCUACCCAUGGAGAUGAAUGAAAAUCAGAACAAUGGAAGCUGAGUAAAUCAAACAUUUGGUGGAAUCAGGGUGAAAGUUUGAUGCCUCUAUCUCCACAUCAGGAAUGGGCUCGCCAAUGGGACCAUGAUAUCAGAAGACAGUUCAUUUGUUUCCACUCAUCCCGGCUGAAGUCUGGAUAAUCACUACCCAUGAUUAUCUGUGACUCCCUUUUUACUUUCCUGGCCAACCAAAAGUCACUGCCCAACCCCUGGCCUGAGUGCCUCUUGCUCAUUAAUCCUUUAAUGUAGUUACUGAAGAGCCUGUUAGUAAAAGCCAUCCUCUCAGCUUGUACUUUGAUCCUUAAAGUCAUAAAGAUCCUUAAAGUCAUCAUUCAAGAGCUGCACCGUAUUUCCAAGUUCUUGUUGAAGGCCUGCCUGUCUGUAACAGCCAGAUAGAAACUAGA